CCGAGGGUCUCAGGAUACAGAGCUGUGUGGGGGUGUCCACAAUGGCCUGGGCUCUUCUUUUUCUUACCCUCCUCAUUCACUACACAGCUGC
rnacentral:pre_miRNA from 1 species